rnacentral:lncRNA from 10 species
CCCAAAUGUAUCUCUGUAUUACAGGACAUGACCUUGCAAGGAGACAUGACUUAUGCAUGUUUAGAAUUAACAGUGAAAUGUUACCAAAUGGGGUUUUCUUUGUGAUGGGCUUCCAGCUAUAACCAAAGAGACAAUGUAGAAAUGGAAGGAAAAUGAGAAGUCUUGGGCUCAUCAAUAUCAACUCCAAGACACAUAAUUGUCAGAUUCACCAAGGUUCAAAUGAAUGAAAAAAUGUUCAGGGCA